ensembl:lncRNA
GCCCCUCCCCUGAGGUGGAGCCCGUGCAGGUGCUCCGUCCUCGGGACGUUCUGGUGAGUCUGCAGCCUCUCGUCUGCCUGGGUCACCGUCUGGGCUCUGACUCAGGCCCCACCGGCCCCGCCAGCUCAGCAAAGACCAAGGAAAGGGAGGGAGAGAACUAGGAACUUAUUUUUCCAAGAAAAUAGGAAGACAAAGAAGGGAGGGGGAGAAGAGUGGGAGGCCUCCAUUCUCGCCCGGGACCUGCUGGCUCGGCUCCGAGGUAAGCAGCUCUUCGAGGAAGACUUCUCCGGGCUCCGGCGCGAGAUGAAGCUGCUCUGGGUCCUGCACGAGCAGGGGACACGGGGCGGGUGUGUCACUACAGCCGGUCUCACUGCUCUGCCUUCACGCCCCUGUCGUUACUGAGGGUUCCUUGCUGGACCCCCAGGUAUCACCCGGCUUUGAAUGGGUACGUUCUCUCCUCGCCUGCUUUCGUUGCUGCUGCAGACGGGUUCUUUUCUACACCAUGAAAAUUCCUCCGCAGUGAAACCUGUUUCUCAGGUCCCACCGGACGUCCGCCAGGGGUACCUCCACUUUCCUCAGGUGGGACGUCCCUGUCGUCUGCUCUGGGUCCGAAAUGACCUCCCCUCCCGCUGUCCCCUCGUUGUCGUCUGUCAUUGUCCUGCCGAUGACCAGUUUCUGGGGGGCGUCCAGGCACACGCCCCAUGGAUGGAACCCUUGGAGCCGGUGACUCCCAAUUUGUCUACGAAUCCCAGAGCGGCACGUCGUGCCAACGGAUCCGAUGUGCUUGAACUCAGGCGCCCAGACAGAAACCCGAAAGGAAGGGACCUUGAGAUGCGGUGGUGUUUACACCGCCCAAGGGAUCAUCUUCCGCAGCCCG